UAAUACGUAGGCAGCAAGCGUUGUUCGGAGUUACUGGGCGUAAAGGGUGUGUAGGCGGUUCUUUAAGUUUGGUGUGAAAUCUCCCGGCUCAACCGGGAGGGUGCGCCGAAUACUGAGGGACUAGAGUGCGGGAGAGGAAAGUGGAAUUCCUGGUGUAGCGGUGAAAUGCGUAGAUAUCAGGAGGAACACCGGUGGUGUAGACGGCUUUCUGGACCGUAACUGACGCUGAGACACGAAAGCGUGGGUAGCAAACAGGAUUAGAUACCCUGGUAGUCCACGCCCUAAACGAUGCAUAUUUGGUGUGGGUCAUUCAGUUGAUCCGUGCCGGAGCUAACGCGUUAAAUAUGCCGCCUGGGGAGUACAGUCGCAAGGCU
rnacentral:rRNA from 1 species